rnacentral:rRNA from 1 species
UACGGAGGGUGCAAGCGUUAUCCGGAUUCACUGGGUUUAAAGGGUGCGUAGGUGGGUUGGUAAGUCCGUGGUGAAAUCUCCGAGCUUAACUCGGAAACUGCCGUGGAUACUAUCAAUCUUGAAUACUGUGGAGGUAAGCGGAAUAUGUCAUGUAGCGGUGAAAUGCUUAGAUAUGACAUAGAACACCGAUAGCGGAGGCAGCUUGCUACACAGUCAUUGACACUGAGGCACGGAAAGCGAUGGGGAUCGAAACCAGG